rnacentral:lncRNA from 1 species
CAAAGCUGGAACUUCUGACCAGGUACCGUCUUUGUUAGGAAGUCUGCAGGAUUGACAUUAGUAUGAAUCUUGUGUAGGACAAUAUCCCCUGAUUCCACUAGAUCUCGAAUGAAGUUGAACUUGGUAGCUAUAUGCUUUGUCUUUUCGUGAUUGACUGGAUUUCUUGCUAGAGCUAGGGCACUUUGAGAAUCGCAGUAGAGUUUGAUCCCCUGUUGCUUGAAACCUAGUUCAUUGCAUAUUUCUUUUAGCCACAUUGCUUCUUUUGCUGCUUCAUUCAUAGCCAUGUACUCUGCUUCUGUAGUAGAUAAGGCAACCACUGAUUGUAGACAUGACUUCCAUGAGAUAGUAUUACCUCCAAAUUUGAAUGCAUAUCCAGUUACUGAACGCCUUCUAUCCAUGUCUGUUGCAUAAUCUGAGUCUGAGUAUCCUUCCACUAGGAGUGUAGAGUUCUUUCUGAAUGUUAAAUUCGAAUUCACUGCCCCCUUUAAGUACCUUAGGACCCACUGAACUGCUUUCCAGUGUUCCCUUCCUGGUUUACUCAUGAAUCUGCAGACGUAGCCUACUGCAAAACCUAGGUCAGGUCUGGAGCCUACCAUGGCGUACAUUAGGCUCCCCACGGCGCUGGCAUAGGGAACUCUUUCCAUCUGAGAAGCCUCCACUUUCAACUCGUCAUCUGUGAGACUUCUUAGUUUGAAGUGUGAUGCAGUAGGAGUAAUCACAGCCUUAGCGUCCUGCAUUUCAAACGUCCUUAGGACUUUCUCAAUGUAUUUGCUCUGAGAUAGGAUCAGGGUUCCCUUCUCUCGAUCUCUGGUGAUAUCCAUGCCCAAGAUUCUUGAGGCCUUUCCCAUGUCCUUCAUCUCAAAUUCUCCACUCAGCUUUUCCUUCAGCUCUUUGAUCACCUUUUUAUUUCCUGAGGCAAUCAACAUGUCAUCGACAUAUAGGAGUAGAUAGAUCGCCUUAUUAGUUUGAACAUCCCUCAUGUAGACACAUAGGUCCUUACUGCAACGUUCAAAUAGCUGAUCCUUCAUGAAGCUGUUGAACCGAUGGUUCCAUGUUCUUGGGGAUUGCUUCAAGCCAUACAGAGUCUUCCUUAACAGGCAUACUUUGUUCUCUGUCCCUGGCUUUAUGAACCCCUCGGGCUGUUCCAUAAGGAUUCUUUCCUCUAGGCUUCCAUGUAGGAAAGCAGUUUUAACAUCCAUCUGUUCUAAUUCCAAAUUCAAAUUCACUACAAUGCUGAGCAUAAGUCUGAUAGAGACAUGUUUCACAACAGGUGAAAAUAUUUCAUUGUAGUCAAUCCCUUCUGUCUGAGAAUAUCCUUUAGCAACUAGUCUGCCUUUGUAUCGUUCAUCCUCAACACCUGGGAUUCCUGGCUUUAGCUUGAAUAGCCAUCUGCAUCCAACAAGCUUUGCCUUUGUAGGCCUAUCAAUGAGAUCCCAGGUUCUGUUCUUUCUAUGAGAUUCCAUUUCUUCUUCUGCUGCCUGCUUCCAUAGUUUCUUUUCUCGGCUUCUCAUAGCUUCUGCGUAGCUUUUUGGUUCCUGAACUUCCAAGUCCUCAAUCACAUUGAGAGCGUAAGCUACAAAAUUCCCAUCUUCAUAUCGUGAUGGUGGUCUCACGUUCUGUCUCCUUUCCCUAUCUCGUGCCAGAACAUAGGUGUCUAGAGUUUCAGUGUCACCACUCUCACUCUCAACCUCGUGAUCACUUUCACUAUCAGCUUCGUGAUCUUGUUCUUGGUCACCUGAGCUGUUAGAGCUAGAUGAUGAUGAUUCUUCUCCACCUUGAUCAGAUGUGUCUUUGGAUUUGAUAGAAGGAGAAGGCCCUCUGAUCAAAUCAUCACUAAAUGAAACUUUCUUCUUAGUUCGUUUGUCAGUUCCUUUGGUCACUCAUGUGCUUCGUUUUUCUUUAGCAACAGUGUGUUUGUACAGCUCUUCUUCGUUAAAAACAACAUUUCUGCUGGUUCUGCAUCUGCCAUCGUCCUCUAUCCAAACUCGGUAACCUUUAGUACCCAUAGGAUAUCCCACGAAGACUCCCUUGAUGUCUAUCGGUCCCGUUUUCUCCUCAGUUAUAUGCACAUAAGCAGUGCAUCCAAAUGUUCUGAGAUGUCCCAAAUCGGGCUUAGCACAUGUCCAAACUUCUUCGGGCAUUUUGAAUUCUAGUGUAGAGUUAGGUGACCUGUUAAUCAGGUGGAUAGCAGUAGAUGCAACUUCUGCCCAGAAGCUUUGGUCUAGGCCAGAUUCGGCUAACAUGCAUCUCACUUUAUCCAUGAUGGUUCUGUUCAUCCUUUCUGAGACUCCAUUCUGCUGCGGGGUAUAGCUGCAAGUUCUGUGGCGUUUAAUUCCCACCUGUUUGCAGUAAUUAUCAAACUGCUUAUUACAGAACUCCAACCCAUUAUCUGUCCUUAGGCAUUUAAUUUUCUUCUCUGUCUUUGUCUCCACCUCAGCUUUCCAUUCUCUGAACUUAGAGAAUACCUCAUCCUUAGUCUUAAGAAAAUAAAUCCAAACCUUCUUAGAGAAAUCAUCAAUAAAUGUCACGAAAUAUUUGUUUCCAGCAAGGCUAUCUGGUGUAGAUGGAGAACCCCAAAGGUCAGAGUGAAUGUACUCUAGAAUCCCUUUAGUCACAUGUUUAGCCUUAGGAAAACUUUGCUUGUGAGAUUUUCCAAUUAUGCAGUGUUCACAGAAAUCCAAUGUCUUAACUUCCUUGUCAAUGAUAAAUCCCCGUUUGACAAGUUCAGACAUGUUAUUAAUAUUCAUAUGACCGAGGCGUGAGGCAUCUCACUUUAUCCAUGAUGGUUCUGUUCAUCCUUUCUGAGACUCCAUUCUGCUGCGGGGUAUAGCUGCAAGUUCUGUGGCGUUUAAUUCCCACCUGUUUGCAGUAAUUAUCAAACUGCUUAUUACAGAACUCCAACCCAUUAUCUGUCCUUAGGCAUUUAAUUUUCUUCUCUGUCUUUGUCUCCACCUCAGCUUUCCAUUCUCUGAACUUAGAGAAUACCUCAUCCUUAGUUUUCAGAAAAUAAAUCCAAACCUUCUUAGAGAAAUCAUCAAUAAAUGUCACGAAAUAUUUGUUUCCAGCAAGGCUAUCUGGUGUAGAUGGAGAACCCCAAAGGUCAGAGUGAAUGUACUCUAGAAUCCCUUUAGUCACAUGUUUAGCCUUAGGAAAACUUUGCUUGUGAGAUUUUCCAAUUAUGCAGUGUUCACAGAAAUCCAAUGUCUUAACUUCCUUGUCAAUGAUAAAUCCCCGUUUGACAAGUUCAGACAUGUUAUUAAGAUUCAUAUGACCGAGGCGUGAAUGCCAAACAUUAGUCAUAUUCCUCUCAACUUUAGAUAGAUUAGCCUCUCCUCGAGAGACUGUCCCCUGUAGAUAAUAUAAUCCCUGAUGAUAUUUCCCUGAGAUAACCGGUUGAUCAUCCUUAUAGAAAUUAACCAUGAGAUCCUUGCCUUCAUAUCUGCAUCCUGAUGUUUCCAACAUUCAAUAAGAGAUUAAAUUUCUACUCAUACCAGGCAUAUAUCUUACGCCUGUUAGAACCACAGUAGAUCCAUUUGGAUUUAGAAUUUUAAUCUUUCCAAUUCCUUGAAUGUUGCUAUGCGUGUUAUUUGCCAUUAACACUUUUCCACCUUUGAAUUCUUCCAGAUCGAACAGGAAACUCUUGUCUGGUGUGAUGUGGAACGAGCAGCCAGAGUCCAUCAUCCAUUCGUCCUUGGAGUAUUGGGUGCUUACGGUGAGAAUUAAAGGUUCCUUGGACUCUGUCACAACAUUAGCUGAGUCUGGCGUUUUGUAAGGCUUUUUAUCAGGGCAAUCACGCUUCCAGUGGCCCUCCUUGCCGCAUACAAAACAUCCCUUGGUGUUUUUGUUGUUUCUGGGAUGCGAUUUGGAACGUCCCUGUCUGCUCUUGGAUCUUCCCCUGUAGGAUUUUCCAUUGCCUUUGCCAGAGCGUUGGUCUGAUCUCCCCCUGUCUGUCACCAUCAGACCUUCUUUACCUGACCUGGUAAAUUUACCACUCUCGAUCAACUCUCUUUCUUUCGACCUUGCAGCCCCUGUAACCUCAGCUAGGCUUAGGGUGUCUCUCCCAUACUUGAGAGUCUCUUUGAGUUGAUCAUACUUGUUAGGUAGAGAACUUAGCAGUAGGAUAGCUUGAACUUCCUCGGAUACUUCAACUUGCAAAUUGUUUAAAUCUGCAACUAGCUUCAAGAAUUCAUCCACAUUCUCAUCAAUGGAUUUUGAGUCGGCCAUCUUGAAAGUGUAGAACCUAAGCUGUAGAUAAAUCCUGUUGGGUAAAGAUGUCUCUGUGUACAACUUGUUCAGUGUACUCCACAUUGCAGCAGCAGUCUCACAAUGUUGGAUUUUCCUUAAGACUUUGUUCCUAACAUUCAGCACAAUUAGGUCCUUCGCUUUCUCUGAUUUUUCAAAUUUUGCAGGAUCAAUUGCAGGUGUGGGCGCAACAAGCCCAGCUAGCCCCUUCCCCGUGUCCUUCAUGGCAGACUCAGGUUCAUCCUUUGGAUCCACGUCAUCCUUUAAAAGCUUCUCAUCGGUGAGAAUAGCUUUCAGUCCAAGCACUCCAAAAUGAGCAAGCAUCCUCACCUUCCAUAGGGCGAAAUCACCAUCACCCUCGAACCGGUCGAUCUCAAUGCGUUCCUUCGUGUUCACCAUCGAGCAGGUACUGACUAUACACCUCCUCUAUCUCUCUCUAUCCUAAGCAACCUUGAUGCAAACCGGAAGCUCUGAUACCACUUGUAGAGAUUUAUAAGCUUAGGUUACUUAGGUUAGAAGUUAUCUUGACCUAGGUCUAGUACUGAAAGUAAAGACACAAACGAUUUAACGAGUUCCCGGCCCUCGGCGCGGUACGUCUCGUGGGAGAACUUCUGCUCCCAAAAUCCACUAGAUCAAAGAGUCUCUAGCUACACCAAAUCAGUGUACUAGAUAGUUUACACAAGUAACAAUCAAUCCCCACAAGAGAAUACAACAAAGCCCCUUAGAUCAAUUAGACUUAGGCCUAAGCUUAUUGAUCUUGUAUUGUUGCCUCCUACUCUUGCACUUCAAUAUGAUUACUUGUUGUUGCCGCUGCUUGAUUUCCUUAAGCGUUAACCUAAUCAGCAUACUAACAUCUCAUAUAUAUGUUGUGUAUGUGAUCAGGUGUUGCUGCUGGAGUGGGCCUGCGACUUGCCUUGGCCCAUGAUGAGUGCUGCUGCUGGCCCAUCAGUAUGUGGGAAAGUCCAAACCUACACAGCAAACAGAAGGGUUGUGUUUCGAUAAGUUAUAUAUGAAAAGUGAUUCAAACAAUCGUAUGACCCAGCAGCGCUUUAUCUCUUAUUAC